GGGCAUAACUCAACGGUAGAGUGUCAGCUUCCCAAGCUGAAGGUUGCGGGUUCAAAUCCCGUUGCCC
rnacentral:tRNA from 1 species